UUGUCUUAGUUGUGUGUUGCACCGCGUUUGGUGGAAGAAACAAGAAAUUGUGGUCAGAUUCAAGCCAAUGAAAGUAAAUGAGAGAAGAGUGGGUCUCAUUCACUAACCGUAUUUGUGUGUAUGUGAAUGUUUUUGCACAGAAAUCAUAAUUCACUAAUAUCUUAGCACUUCGAGUUUUUUCUACAUUUAACAUAAAAUUUAGAACCAACUAAAACGUUAUGUAUGUAUGUAUGUAAAAAUCAGUCCUGGUGGCCUUAGAAACAUGAAAUGGUUUAAGCCGAAAAGUUUAUAUGGACUAAAUUAAAUUUGAACAGCUGAGUGACCCAAAAAUUAUUUAGCAUUUAAAAAAGACACAUUUUAGAUCUGCAAUGGGUUCUGCAUAAAAAUGUGUUGUUAUAUAAAAGGUCUUUAUUUUGUAUUUAAAAGCCAUUAUAUGGAGAUGGUUAGGCCACUAAUUAUGCUGACUGCUAACUUUAGGGACGUUUAUGUAGAAUAAUCUGGAUUCUGGAAAGAUGGUAAGAGCAAAUUUACAUGCCAACCUGUUGAGAGUAAUCAGGUGGAAAUUUUGUGUAAGAACCAUUUCUGUGCACAUAAGAAUACAGUUAUAAGUGAAUGUUGCAAAGUAUUAAACUCACAUUGAAAUGGAAGUAGCGACAGGUAUUUUAUUCCAUAUUGUGGUGUACAUCUGAGUGAAAUGGAUAUUUGGAAAAGAAAAAAAAUGUUAGGUGGUGCCUUGGUUUUAUCCACUGCUGUGUUGAUUGCAGUCGAUUGUAAGAAAGAGGCGGAGUUUAUGCACUCUAAAUGAUUGGAGAAAUGAACAUACAUCAUCAUAGGGAAGUCUGUCAUUUUCAGGUUUUCGUUUUAAGCCGAGCAAGGCCACUUUGGCCAUUUCUAGAAAUCUUGCUGUGGGUGCCAUGAGAGAAAGCUCCAUCUGUAUUAGAUUGAAAGUAAUUUUUUCUUUGAAGUUCAAAUGAAUGGAAAUUAAAUGGAUGAAUUUUUGACAGUUGUAUCUUUCGGAAAAGAAAAAGGAAUGUUUACGUGCAGAAGAAAAUACAUGAAAGCAUCAAUUCAAUGUUUCUUGGCUCUAACAGUGACAGUGAAACGGUGUAAAGCCACCAUUAAGACCUGAACUUUUUGCCCUGUUUUGUUUUUAAUUCUACAGUUCUCCUAUUUAGCAAUGCCAAUUUAUUGCUUUAUUUAAAAACACUAAUGUUCUUUUUAUUUAAUUUAAGUCACAUUUAAUGCAAGUGCAGAUUGCACAAUGCACAUUUCAUGUUAAAAAUAAGGAGUGUUUUGAAAUCUUCAAACUGUUUGUUCUUCAACAUAUUGUCCUGCAGAAGACCUUGUUCUCUUCCAAAAGGUUACACUUCAUGUAAAUUUACACUCCUGAAAAUGUGAGGGCAUUUAUUACCUUAUCUAUUGUGACUACUACACACAAUACCUCUGAUUAUCCUGUGCUGUGUAUUUCAUUUGGCCUAAUGAAUAACGCAUAUAUAUAUGCAUAAAGACACUUCACAGGUUUUCUGAAGCAAUAGAGAGAUAACAGUGCUUUUCCUUUUUCGUUUGUGUGCCGAACUAUGUAUAUGUCAUAUUGCAUAGAAAGUCAUUCUCUUUAACAACAAAAACAGUUAUUUUGUCUCAUUUUAUAUACGGCAUAUGAGGCCAAAUUAAUCAUCUGUUUACCAAUUAUCAAACCUUUGCAGAAGGCCUAUCACAUCCCUCACUGACGAAACAUACUGUGCUGUAACCAAGAGGCUUUUCAAGGAAUUUUCUAGGUUUAAGAUUUAUAGACAGCAUCUGUGUUAUGCUAUCGGUUACCACAUCAUCACUUAGUUUGUAAAACAAAAGCAAUGUCUUUUAAAAUGUAACUCCAACACUGUUGAUAGAUCUUAAAGUGUAUUUAAACCAGAAUAUUUCUAUUACUGAUACAUAAUUGUUGGAAGGUUUAAGAUGUGGGGAAGAGAUUUUUUCCCCCCUUUUCUUUCUUUAAUUUACUGUGCUCAUCGGUGUGCCUUGUUUGUACUUUUUCUUAUUUAUAUACAUGUUGCCUAAUUAUGUUAGUGUUUGCUGUGUCAAUCAAAUACAAUCAACCUUACAUAUUCAUGAAUUGCUAAAAAUUCAAUUUCUAUAGUCACUUGCUAAAAAGUAUGUUUCUUUUUUUCAGAUUGAAUAGUUUUUGGUUCAUGUUGACAACAGCCUCAUGUUUUGUAUUACACUGAACAGGUUGCCAUGUUUUGAUGGUCUUUUAUGACAUUACAGUUAGAAAGGUCUGUGGCCCUAUAGAGAGGUGUCUUUUAUUGACAUUAUUAUGAUAUAAGGGAAAAAGAAAACCUAGAUGUAGAUUUGUUAAUUAUAGUUGGUGUGUUUAGGUUUGCUGGUUUCUUUUUCUUUUCUUUUUCUCCAGAAAAUUUUACAUUGAAAGUGAUGGCCAGUUUUUACAAAUUUGAUAUUUGAUUAAAUCAUCUUGUGUAGUAACGACCAGUUUUUACAUACGUUUCCCCCCCCUAACUUAAGUAUUUAUGGUGGUGGUAUUUUAUCUUUCUUUUUGUUUUUGUUUUUUUUGAGGAAACAUGACCAUUAACAUUACAUUGUCAUUUGCACUUUCAUAGACUAUACUUGAUACAUUCCCAGUUUGUAUGAUGUGUAGCCAAUAAACCGAAAGUAUUGGUAAAGGUUUGCUCGGAUUAAAAAGUUUAAAGUGCA